rnacentral:lncRNA from 1 species
GCGGCCCCACCCUCCCGCAUCAGCACCGGCUGGGUGGGUGCGGAGUGCGCCAGCGGCCAAGUCAAGACUCCUUGAAUGCUCAGGUUAGGGGGCGCGGGCGGCAAGUGCGGCGACUCCCCGGGGCGCCUCCAACUUUCCGAAUCGCCCGCAGGGUUGCGGUGGAGCGCACGGUGUCCUUCAGUUAGGCGGUGGUCGAGGGGAGUUCCUCUGAGAUUUCUGGAGAAGGCGGUUACAUCCAAGACAAAUGCUGUUGCGCUCUGCGGAGACGCACCUUUGUUCUAUAGAGAUUUUGUUGUUGUUUAAGAAUCUUCCUGAAAAAACUAAUACAUAUGUAUUACAUGCUAACACACGCAUACAUUCUUGCGUAGAAUUGUACAUAACUCAGGAGUGUCUAGAGUGAAAAGACCGUAUCGCACUCCCUCCCACGGCCGCGGCUCUCCCACGGCCGCGGCUCCCCCGCGGUAACCUUCGGUCAGGGUGUGCUCUGCCGCGGUUCUUUCCAGUCUCUGCGCUUUUACAUGCACACGCACAGAUUGCGAGUGGAAUCUCCUGGGCUUUUCAAAAGAAUGUUUUCAACAUUAAGCGCAUGCACACAGUGGCUUGAACACGGCCACGUCGGGAGCAGUAAAUCCCCAGAGGCUCCGGGAGCCCAGGGAAGGACCCUUGCUGUGAAACAGCAAAGAGCCACCCAAUCGCCAUGUGUGGAUCUGAAACCCCAGCUGGAGCGUGAAGUCGGUCUGGUUACACAGCUCAGGCCCAAAUUAGCACUGCACGGUUAGAGAGAUUUGCCAGUACAUUCUAGACAGGGUUAUGACCUUCCCCUUCUUACAGAACAAACUGUCUUGAAUUUUGAUAUGAUGAGAACUCUGGAUUUGCAAAAUGAAAAGGUAUCGUCCGCAUUAAAACACGAUCGUUAUUUA